GCUUGUUUCAGCUAACAUAUACUAAAAUUGGAAUGAUACAGAGAAGAUUAGCAUGUGUACCCUGCACAAGGAUGACAUGCAAAUUUAUGAAGCACUCCAUAUUUUU